AAGACCUUGUGCUUUUGGAGCGGCCGAMGCCUGAUUAGCUUGUUGGUAAGGUAAAAGCUUACCAAGGCUUCGAUCAGUAGCUGGUCUGAGAGGACGACCAGCCACACUGGGACUGAGACACGGCCCAGACUCCUACGGGAGGCAGCAGUGGGGAAUUUUGGACAAUGGGCGCAAGCCUGAUCCAGCCAUGCCGCGUGAGUGAAGAAGGCCUUCGGGUUGUAAAGCUCUUUCAGUCGGGAAGAAAAGGUUGCGACUAAUAAUCGUGAUCAAUGACGGUACCGGAAGAAGAAGCACCGGCUAACUACGUGCCAGCAGCCGCGGUAAUACGUAGGGUGCGAGCGUUAAUCGGAAUUACUGGGCGUAAAGCGUGCGCAGGUGGUUUUGUAAGUCAGAUGUGAAAGCCCCGGGCUCAACCUGGGAACU
rnacentral:rRNA from 1 species